rnacentral:lncRNA from 1 species
UGCUUAAAAUCAAAGCUAUGUUGUUUCUUUCAGCCCUUAAGAAAUAAAUGUCCUACCAUACCCAAGUCUAGUUUUUUCUUCAUGUUAUAUUCAAGUCAGACAUUACAAAUUAACCUGGGGAGCCUUCCUUUCAGAGCUUGACUUAAAAGGCAUCGUAAAUCAAUUGCAGAUCUCUCUCUAUGCAGUUUAAAUGGGUUUCUUAACACAGUCCCAGAAGGAGCUAUGAUCACUCAUCAGACUUGGUAUUCAGGACUCUCAGAUGAGAACCAACUUACUUCGGUCCAGGCUGAAUAGCGCCAUCCACCUGUGCUGCACUCUCCUGAGCAUUUCUCCUGGUUACUCGGUCUGGGUUGACUGCUACAGAAACUGUCAUCCACCUUCUCCGUCUUCCCGUCCAUCCUGCUGUAUUUGGCACAGUGGAUGUCUAAAGUACGGUAGCCCAAACCACACUGGGCACUGCAUUCGCUCUUGCUGGCAACGUGCCACCUAGACAUAAAUAAUGGUGGAAAACCAACAUUUGUGUUAAACACAAGUGUCACAUCCAACUAGUAAGAAAGCUGAGUUCGUUCUUUCUUCAUUCAAAUAUGAUGACAGCUCAAAGUCACAGCCAGUUACAAUCCAAGUUCAGACCAAGGUAUCCGUGUGAUUUUCAUGGCUGUCAAUGUACGUGGAAGUCACAGAACCACAGCCAGAGAUGCUACGUCUGUGAAGAAUCUCUUGGUACAGCUAGUCUGAAAUUCAAGCAGCAGAAAGGAAAACAAACAAACAAACAAACAAACUGGAACUCAGCAAAGCAAGGACAGCAAUUUUUAUAUGAAGUAUUUCACUUGGCUCUUGGGAAACUCAUCUGUGGAAUGCUUCUUUUUGUCUGUCCGUGCUUGUAAAUACUCAGCGACUAUUCUGAUAAUAAUAAUGCAGGAAUGAAUAAUAUGGGGAAUAAUUAAAAAUUUUCAAGUGUACGUGCUAUACACUAGGAGCGUUAUUAUUUAUUAUUAUUAUUAUUAUUAUUAUUAUUAUUGUUUUGUAAUAAACACUAAAUUUGGGGGGAUUGGCCAUCAGCUCAGCUUCAGGAUCAAUAAGAGACCCUGUCUCAAAGGAAUAAAGCAGAGAGUGAUGAAAGCAGGUGCACACCCUUGCACAUGUGUGUAUACACUACACACACACACACACACACAUACGGCUGGAAAUGUUUUUGUUUGUUUGUUUGUUUGCUUGCUUUUUAGUAUAGAAUAGAGUUUAUUCAGGGCAUGGGGAGGGGAGUUAAGAGAGUAGUAGAGGCAGAGAAAGGCAGAGAGAGGGAGAGAGUAGAGAAAUGGGGGUCAGUCAUGACCACAUGAAGAGAGAGGCAAAGAUGCAAAAGCUGGACACAAUAUCUGGAACAGCAGAUAUUGUGUGUGUGUGUGUGUGUGUGUGUGUGUGUGAGUGUGUAUAUGACUGAUAUGACUGUGUGUCUGAACAUGUAUGUCAGUGUGUUUGUGUUUAUAUGUAUGAACCUGUGUAUCUGUGUGUAUGCAUGUGUGUACGUGUGCAUGGGUACAUGUGGAAGCCACUAAAGGUAUUGUUUCUCUGGUUCCUUCUACUUAUUGUUUUAAUCACAGUGUGUGUGUGUGUGUGUGUGUGUGUGUGUGUGUGUGUAUACCAGGUAUAGAGGUUACAGUACAAUCCUCACCUUCCACCAUGUAGUUCCAAGGACCCGACUCAGGUCAUGAAGUUUGGGACAUGUGUCUUUAUGCUCUGAACUAUUUUACUAGUCUUACCUUAUUUUCUGAGACAGGCACUGUCACUGAGACCUGUCCUGUCACUGGAAACUCAGACUUUGCUAGGCUGGUUGGCCAAGAACCUUCCUCUGCCCAGUGGGUUCCACUAUAUCCCCAGCUACACCAUUGCACUUGACAUUUUAAAAGUGGGCUCAGGGCCCCGUGCUUGCAGAAGCACUUUACAACUGAACUGUCUCCCAAACCCUCAUUAUACACUUUUAAAAUUAGAUUUGAAUCCAUCAGACUUUGCCACCUUUACAUCCCUGAUAUUAUUCAUAACGAAGCCUUCUGACACACAUCAGGUGCACAGUAUAUACUAAUGACUACUCUUAUUUUCUAUAACACAACAGGAACAGAGUGCUUGAAUUUAAAACAUAAGCAAAAAAUGUUUAAUUCACAGUUUUUAAAAUCAGGAUUUUGAAAUGUAUGUGGAAAUCUAGAAAAAGAUAAUUUUCUUCUAACCUCCAGGGGAUCUUCUCUCCCAUUAUUAAUUCCCUUCAUCUCAGCCACUGGGAGGUGUGCCACUUCUCAAUGUCCUAAUGUUCACUCAUACACACCUGUCUAGGGGAGGAGUUGGGAAAAAAGAGGAACUCAAGCCAACACGCUUAUCAAGGAAUUUCUAAGUAAUGUCCAAAAGUAGGUCAGAGUUGACCACUGGCAAGGAAAGUGGGCUGUGAUUUUCCAUUACACUGAAAUAGCGUCAGGGAGAUUUUGUUCUAACACAGUAAACGAGGACUUAUAAACUCAUCCUUUAUCUCAUCCUGUCACAGGCCAGUUGGGGCAAACUGUCACUUCCUACAGGAAGUGAGGC